ACGAACGCUGGCGGCGUGCUUCACACAUGCAAGUCGCACGGAAAGGCCCUGCUUUUGUGGGGUGCUCGAGUGGCGAACGGGUGAGUAACACGUGAGUAACCUGCCCUUGACUUUGGGAUAACUUCAGGAAACUGGGGCUAAUACCGGAUAGGAGCUCCUGCUGCAUGGUGGGGUUGGAAAGUUUCGGCGGUUGGGGAUGGACUCGCGGCUUAUCAGCUUGUUGGUGGGGUAGUGGCUUACCAAGGCUUUGACGGGUAGCCGGCCUGAGAGGGUGACCGGCCACAUUGGGACUGAGAUACGGCCCAGACUCCUACGGGAGGCAGCAGUGGGGAAUAUUGCACAAUGGGCGGAAGCCUGAUGCAGCAACGCCGCGUGCGGGAUGACGGCCUUCGGGUUGUAAACCGCUUUCGCCUGUGACGAAGCGUGAGUGACGGUAAUGGGUAAAGAAGCACCGGCUAACUACGUG
rnacentral:rRNA from 1 species